GAUGAACGCUGGCGGCGUGCCUAAUACAUGCAAGUCGAGCGAACGGACGAGAAGCUUGCUUCUCUGAUGUUAGCGGCGGACGGGUGAGUAACACGUGGAUAACCUACUUAUAAGACUGGGAUAACUUCGGGAAACCGGAGCUAAUACCGGAUAAUAUUUUGAACCGCAUGGUUCAAAAGUGAAAGACGGUCUUGCUGUCACUUAUAGAUAGAUCCGCGCUGCAUUAGCUAGUUGGUAAGGUAACGGCUUACCAAGGCAACGAUGCAUAGCCGACCUGAGAGGGUGAUCGGCCACACUGGAACUGAGACACGGUCCAGACUCCUACGGGAGGCAGCAGUAGGGAAUCUUCCGCAAUGGGCGAAAGCCUGACGGAGCAACGCCGCGUGAGUGAUGAAGGUCUUCGGAUCGUAAAACUCUGUUAUUAGGGAAGAACAUAUGUGUAAGUAACUGUGCACAUCUUGACGGUACCUAAUCAGAAAGCCACGGCUAACUACGUG
rnacentral:rRNA from 1 species